GUCCUACUCCCUCCGUUCCAAAUUACUCGUCGCAGAAAUGGAUGUAUCUAGAACUAAAAUACAUCUAGAUACAUCCAUAUACCUGCAACAAGUAAUUCGGAACCGAGGGAGUAUAAU
rfam:Triticum aestivum genome assembly, contig: Triticum_aestivum_CS42_TGACv1_scaffold_542920_6DS